rnacentral:misc_RNA from 1 species
GCGGCAGGGAGGAGGAGGAGAGAAAGAUCUCGUGUAGUAUAAUAUCGAGGAAUGGAAAUAUAAUGGGAAAUGAGCAGAGAGCAUCGCAUCGCGUAGCCGAGGAUAACUCUGAAAUGGGCGCCGGCUGGUGGCUACAGGGGGUUGAUGGCUCGGAAGGUAUAGGAAAAAGGGAAAAAAAAAAAAAAGGGAGGGGUGGAAAGCAUCGAUACACCAACCUCUGAAAUAUUCAUCGCAAAAGGAUCCCAUUAAG